GGAGGAUCAUUCCAGAGUUCAUGCCCGAAAGGGUAGACCUCCCACCCUGUGUUGCCCGUAACUUGUUGCUUUGGCGGGCCGCCGUCAGGCGCUAGCCCCGGCUAGCAGCGCCCGCCAGAGGCCCCUCAAACCCUGCAUGUCAGUGUCGUCUGAGUACUAUAUAAUAGUUAAAACUUUCAACAACGGAUCUCUUGGUUCUGGCAUCGAUGAAGAACGCAGCGAAAUGCGAUAAGUAAUGUGAAUUGCAGAAUUCAGUGAAUCAUCGAAUCUUUGAACGCACAUUGCGCCCCUUGGUAUUCCGGGGGGCAUGCCUGUUCGAGCGUCAUUUCAACCCUCAAGCCCGGCUUGGUGUUGGACCGUGCCGGUAACGGCAGGUCCCAAAGCGAGUGGCGGUGCCCGUAGGCCCUGAGCGCAGUACUACUUUCGCUACAGAAGCCUGGGGGCCAACCAGCCAGCAACCCCAACUUUCUAUGGUUGACCUCGGAUCAGGUAGGGAUACCCGCUGAACUUAAGC
rnacentral:sRNA from 1 species